rnacentral:lncRNA from 1 species
UAAUCUCCCGAUUUGAGAUUUCAGCUUGCCCAUUAGUUUGGGGGUGAUAUGCGGUAGAGACUUUGUGCACAACCCCAUACUUCCGUACUGCAGUUAAUUGGUGGACCUAUAGGAUAAAUGAGACUUAGAUUAUUGCAUGACCAAACCUUAAUCUUAGUCUUCCAAUCAUUCAAUCUUUUUGUGCUUUAUGCUUUUCUUAAAUUUCAACUCUUUGCAUGACCAAACAAAGGUUAAUUCAGGAAAAAGAAUAUUAAUCACGAAUGACCAAACGAAUUAAUAGUUUUAGUAAAUAGAUUGGUAAUUGAGGUAAAAUAAUGGAAUUCAAGUGGAACUAGACAUAGGGAAUCAAUGAUUGCGAGUGAAACCAUGACCCCUAGGCCUCUCUCUACUAGUUUACGACUUCACAUUUUUAUUCUUGUUCUUACUCGUACUCGUCAUUAUUUUCUCUUUAGUUAUCAUAAACAACUCAACUCUUUAUCCG